rnacentral:misc_RNA from 1 species
GUUGUUUCGCGGCUCAACGUAUUAUGUUUCCAAUGCGUGGUGUUUUGUUGAGACAAAGGCCCGGUUUUCCAUUUCAGGUGCUGACAGUCCGUGGGAUGUUCAUUCAGGUACAAGAAACACCAAACCCCAACAGCCUGAAAUUCGUUCCUGGUGUUCAAAUAACUGAGUCUGGGACCGUCAAUUUUGAAAAUCCACAAUCAGCAGUUAGAUCACCUUUAGCCAGACAGCUUUUUACCAUCGAGGGAGUAACAGGCAUAAUGUUUGGUACUGAUUUUAUCACAAUAACCAAGUCGAGUGAAGAUGAUGUGGAUUGGGCUCAAAUAAAACCUAAUAUAUUUGCUACAGUUAUGGAUUUCUUUGCCAGCAAUAUGCCAAUCUUUACAGAUGAACAACCACGGUCUGAUACAGAGGUCUUGGAUGAUGAUGAUGAAACAGUAGCUAUGAUUAAGGAGCUUAUUGAUACAAGGAUAAGGCCCACAGUUCAAGAAGAUGGUGGAGACAUAAUAUUUAAGGGAUUUGAUAAUGGAGUUGUGAAGCUUAAAAUGCAAGGAGCUUGUUCCACAUGCCCAAGUUCAAUUGUCACUCUAAAGAAUGGAAUAGAAAACAUGCUACAGUUUUACGUUCCUGAAGUCAACUCGGUUGAACAGGUUGAAGAUGAAGUUGAUGAAAUCAACAAGAAGGAAUUUGAAAAGUUUGAAGGAAAACUUGAAGAAACCUAAUAUUACAAAAAAUUGGUGAAUGCUAUAUAGUUAUAUCAUUUCUAUAUAUAUAGUUCAUUGCGAUCACAUGAAGUACCUGUGACUAUUUUUUGUAAUCGCCAUUGCAGGCUCGUUCUUGACCUUUGCUCGAUCAAAGUUUCAAAAUAAGGCCAUCUUUUUUUGAAAAUAAUGAAAUUUUCCUGUUGUUUUUCCUAUUUAAAAUGGCAAACUGAUCGUACUUUAACACGAAGAUUGCAUGCAUUGAACAGGCAAUAUGCAGAUUCAUUAUGUAGUUCUGUUAUGAGAAACAGUAUUGAUAAACUGUCAUGUCAAGGGCACUUUUCGCGGAGCUCCCUUUGGCCCAACCAAAUGAGCCAAUAUAAUGUCGCGUCUGGAUUUGUCUGUGGAAAUGUUCUAAUCAAAAGAGGUCUAUCCAAAUAUGUUAAUCAAAACAAGAAUUCCAUCUACUUUGAUACGCAU